UACGAAGGGUGCAAGCGUUACUCGGAAUUACUGGGCGUAAAGCGUGCGUAGGUGGUUCGUUAAGUCUGAUGUGAAAGCCCUGGGCUCAACCUAGGAAUUGCAUUGGAUACUGGCGAGCUAGAGUGCAGUAGAGGAUGGCGGAAUUCCCGGUGUAGCAGUGAAAUGCGUAGAGAUCAAGAGAAACAUCUGUGACGAAGGCGGCCAUCUGGACCAGCACUGACACUGAAGCACGAAAGCAUGGGGAGCAAACAGG
rnacentral:rRNA from 1 species